GUCGGAGCGGAGCGGGAUGCGGAAGCGGCGCUCGGCCUGCAGGGGAAGCGAUUCCAGCCUCGUAAAUGCGCUCGGUCGGAAGGGAGCCGGGCACUAGGGCCCGCAGAAAACAGGAAUAUUUGAUUAGGGAAUCAUGCGCUCGGCAGAGGAGCUGGUUGUAUUAAUACCAACAGUCUUUUGUUAUUACCAAGAAGUCUUGUCUGAUGGGAUUCCUGUCUGAUUCAUUGGCUCCACAGCCAUGCAGUUAUCAUGUUUGAGACACACAUUGGGCCCUUAUCUUCGAGAUUCUGCAGUGGGGAAGGAGAUGCUCUUUUAAAGCAGGAACAUGCUUUCCAGCUUCUGGCUCCUGAGUGGAGAAGGUAAACAGCCAGCAUGACAUAUCUCCAGCUGUUCCCAAGCUCUUGCAGUUGCUUCUUGGAAAAAGGGAGGCACAAACUGUGUGUAGAGAUGGCCUCCUAAAGCCAGAGAUUGCAUGGAGUCAUCCCAGGGGGUCAGCACUGGUUCCUGCCUGACUCUGUACAUCUUCACCUCACCCUCAAGUGAGAGUUGGUUUCCAGUUGUGUUAUUGGCUGUGUUUCCCACUGUGUUUCUCCACAAGUCCAGAGGAGGCUACCACAAGGAUUGGAAAGACAGAGCACCUCUGCUACGAGGGAAUUGGUUGUUCAGCCUGGAAAAGAAGUGGCUUAGGGGUGAUCUAUUUGUGGCCUCCAGUACCUGAAGGGAACCCACAAGAAAGAGCAGGAUUUUUACAAGGGCGUGUGAUGACAGGACAAGAGGGAAUGGAUCCAAACUGAGUGUAGCUUUAAAUCAGGUAUUAGGAAAAAAUUAGUGACUGUGAGGGUGGUGAGACACUGGAGCAGGUUGUCCAGGGAAGUGAAUGUCCCAUCCCUGGAAAUGUUCAAGGUCAGGUUGGAGGGGCUCUAAGCAACCUGGUCUAGUGGAAGGUGUCCCUGCCCAUGGCAGGGGAUUGGAACUAGAGGAUCUCUAAGGUCCAUUCCAACCCAAACCAUUCUAAGAUUCUGUAAGAUUUCAGCAAAUAAAUCUUGGUUCAAAAUGCAGUGAUUAAUAUUUCUCCACUGCAAGAGCUCACCGACUGGAAGAUUGCACCAACACAUCUGUGGCUGUCAAAGAUAAGAUCCACAUUUUACAGGUUUUACAUUCUGAUAAAUAGUAAAGCAGAAGUCAGUAUCUGCAUCAACAGCAUUGACAUUACUUGCCAAAGACCACUUUUUGCCUCCUGUUCACAAUCUCAUCUGAAGCUUAUUGUAACAGGUUUUGCAGCCUAUCCGUCCAAGAUAAGAUCACUGGAGUUCAUCAUAGUUGAAGAGGGCCUCCUCUCAGCUAUAGGUUACCAGGAGCUGACUAAGUUGUGGCUGGUUGCCUGAAGGGAAUGUGCUGAGCUGGCUUGCUCAGCAGCAGAGUGUCUAGAGGAAGAGAAAAACAGGUCCUGUCUGGAGAAGGACAAGUUCAAGGCUGGGAAAAGUAGAGUUAUAUCUCUAGGGGAAACAGGAGUAGAACUUGGGGAUCUUACCUAGCUUCAGUGCACCUCCCUGCACCUUCAAUGCUUUUAAAAAUACCACAAAAGUGAGCUUCCUUUUAAUAAGCUGGUUUACAUAAUCUAAGUGCUAUACUAUGUCAGUUCUAAUUAGAUCAGUGUGUACUGCAAAUGAGAGUUUUUCUCCCUAGUCCCAGCUGGAAGCAUAUCUGAAGAUCUUCAGAUGACAUUGUUACUUGUUUACAUCUUGUCUCCUUUUUCUUUAGGAGAUUUGAAGGUUUAACUUUUCAGUUUCAAUCAAAAGUGGCUGCAAAUGAAUAAAAGCUUGGGUUUUAUGAGUAUUAUAAAAGCAGCAAACACAGGGAUUAUUUAAGAGCCUUUCAGCCAUAUGUGGGACACAUACAGGUGGUAGAAUCACUGGGGUGGAGAAUAGUAUCUCUACUGUGUGCUAAUAUUGUGGUGUAAUAAUAAAAUUUUUCACUGCAUUUUCCUAGACAUUUCUUAUUUUCAAAAAACACAGUCUUAAUUAUUUUCUCAUGUUCAUUUUUACUAGUACAAGUACAAAAUUAUGCACUGUAAAUAAAAGGGAAUUUAGGAGAGUUUUCUUUUCAAAAUGUUCAGAAAUGGAACAGUCUGAAGGGUAACAGAGAAUUAGCAAGACAUGCACUCCUAAAUAGAAUAAUACUUUGCAAUUCUGGUAUGCCAAAUGUCUACAAGGAGGUCAGAACACUUAACAUAUGUUUAGUUCAUUCUUACCUCAGUGUUCACAUGUCACAGGCCAGGAAAUACAGAGAGGGGAUUUGAUUGAUAGACUAAUUGAUUUACCAAAUGUUAGGUAGAAAUUGUUGCCAGAGUCUUAUUUCCUAAACCCAAUAUUUUGUUUCAAUUACAAGAUCAAAGGAAAAUGCAGCAUGUGCUGAUCAAUGUUCAGAUUCAGCCAACUCUGUUUGUAGAAGAUUGUAACCAUGUAGAGCAUUAAUGCAGUGCAGAUUGUGCUCUGUAUUCCCUGGUCAUACAGUGUGGCUCUGUCUCCUUCUACUGGUUUACAUUUGUUGUAGAUUUGCUCCUACUGGCUCUGGACUACUACAGGUUUAUACUUCUGUUCAGUUAACUGGAGUUCCUACACUGAGUGCCUACACUGAGUGCCAAGUCUUGGAAUUUCUUGAGCUGAUUCACUCAGGAGAUUAUUAGUGUAAUCUAAUGAAUCUGCAAUCCCAAGUGUGGGCAGACAGCAAGUUACCAGAAGAGGGUGUAGCAGGAAUAAACUGAAGCACAAACAUCCAUCUGCUUGCCAGUAUCACCCAACGUGCACUUGUUCCUUGGUGGAAGAAGGGCGAGUACCCAAUGAUUCCUCUGAAGCAGGAUAGAAGUCUUUGGCCUAAUCCAGUGUGGCUGCUGUUACGUUCCUUAUGCACUCUGCAACAGCAGGAUGUGGGAGGAAGGGAAUGCAAAUGUCAGGAAGGGAAAACACUGCUGGAUAUAAAGAUGCCACAGGCCUGUGCCAUCACACUCUUCUGCAAGGCAGGAGUGACUGUCCCUCACAUCUGCUGAACAGGCCACAGAGUCCUGUCUGGAUGAGCUGUGCUGGAAAGAAACAAGGAGGGUUUCUGUCAUCUCUGCAGGAAGACCGAUGACCUGAAAAUGAAAGGUUUAGCAUGGGAGGCAACUGGACUGGUUUCAUUAGCUGCAUCUACCUGAAUUUUCCCAGUGGUGGGUUUUACUGUAAGUAGACACUCCAAAAGCAGCUGGAACUUAGGGAGUUAACCAGGAAUUUACUUGAAGGAAAGAGUAAUUUCAGCUGCAAAGCUGUAACACAGUGUAAUAGUGAGGAACUGAUACAAUGUAAUCUGGUGAACUGGCUGAGCUACUAUUUCUGAUCCACUGUCACAUGGAAAGGUCCCAUUGUGUCUCAAUUACUGUGCAGUUCUGUGGGCUUUACUGCUCCUCUGCAGCCCACACGUCCUCUGGCUUCAGAGAAUGUUUUCAAUGUUUCAUAAGCUUAAAAUCACAAGCAACCUAGGAGAGCUUGCUUGUGCUUAUUUAUGCUGCUGAUGGACUUUUCAUAGUGAUGAAAAAUAUACAGCUUCAUUGCCAUGCUGAAGAACAUAUCAUCACACUAUUGUUUAGAAAGGAAUCCUUAGGAAAGAUCAUCAAGUUAACCCAGCACUGCCAAGCCCACCUCUAAACCACGUCUCUAAAUGCUACAUCUACAUGGUCCUUUUAAAUGCCAUUGGGGAUGGUGACUUCACCACUUCCCUGGGCAGGCUUUUCCAAAGCUUGAUUACCAUGUCUUCAUCACAGUGAAGAAAGUUUUCCAAAUAUCCAGUCUGAACCUUCCCCUGCACAAGUUGAGGCCAUUUCCUUAUCCUGUUGCUUGUUACCUAGAAGACGCCAACCUGCAUCUGGCUCCUUUCAGGUCUCCCUUGGGCCUUCUUUUCUCCAGAGCUGAGGCUAGACAACCCCAGCUCCUUCAGCUGCUCCUUGUAAGACUUGUGGUCUUCUACUCAAGACUGAGGCAAACAAGGCCUUGUAAGUACCUUAGCCUUCACCUUCAUUCUUUGUCACUGUGUUUCCUCCGGCAUCCAAUAAAGGAUGGAGAUUCUCCUUAGCCCUCCAUUUGUUGCUAAUAUAUUUAAGGAUUUUUUUUUAUUGUGUGGCAUUUGACAGGUUAAGUUCUAUCUGGGCUUUGGCCCUUCUAAUUUUCUCCCUCCAUAAAACUUCAUGACAUUCUUGUCCUCCUGAGUUUCCUGCCCCUUCUUCCACAGGUCAUGAACUCUUCUUUUUCCCAAGUUCCAGUCAACACUCUCUGUUCAGCUGCACAUUUCAGGAACCUGCUCAACUGUUUCCUCUCUGCUGUAUUUCUAGAAGGCAUCUGGUAAGUUGAAGUCCCCCACAAGAAGAAGAACUAGAAAUUGUGAAAUUCUCAGCUGCUUAUAGAGUCUUUCACCUGCCUCUUCACCCUGGAUGGAUGAUCUCUAACAGAUUCCCACCAGGUUAUCUGACUUGUUGGCCUGCCCCCCUGAUUUUCACCUAUAAAGGCUCAACUCUUCCGUCGCCAUCAUUAAGCUCUAGAAAAUCAAAACACUCCUUAACAUACAUGGCUACCCCAGAAGGAAGUCAGGGUGUGAAGCAGAGACUGUCAGCCUUGGGUGGCCUCUUGCACAUUAACAGGAGUAGAAAGAGCCAUUGUUCUGGGAAGGGAACCCCAAUCCAUACAUUCUGCACAGGCUAUUUUUACUGCCAGGCAUAACAGAAGAGGGAACUUACAUGUGCCCUUACAUGGUUUUGCACCUCAGCUCCCUCUGCAAAUCCCCAGACAUGGAGUUGGUGACAGAAGAUUUAACUAAGAUUGCAGAGGCAGGAGAGUACAGGCAGAAGAGGGGGAGAUCUCUUGGAAAAAGUAUUCUGAAGAGAAAUCUGUCCCAGAGGCUGUAGUUGCACUAAGCUAAACAGCAGUGGGCUCGCUCUUUGGCUCAGAGACUGAUUGAUAAAAUGUGGGGCCAUACUGUGAAAUUGAGCUAGUCUCCAAAGCAGGGCUGCCACACACAUAUUGCCUAUUGGAAGCAGCUCCUGCUCAUGCUACAGUCCUGAAUCACACCAGCAAAGUAUUGGGCCAGUUGGCCCAGAUCAACCAUCUAAGAAUGUAAUACUGAAGAUUACUAUUGGGAAGAGAUGCCCUGCUGUGGUCACCUUUCCUGCAGGAUCCUGCAGAACUUCCAUGACAAUUGCCUUAUUGGUGGCUGAGGAGGAGACAGGCCAGAAUGUGGGGCAGCUACUCAGUGCCCUUGAGACCCUGGAUACUCUUGCAGCCAUGAGGAAACACUAAUCCAGUUCCAGUGUCCUCUGUGGGUCAAUGUUGUGCACCUCCCAAGGCAGGCUGUGCUGUGGAAAGCAGGUCCUCCCAAAAAGGCCAGAAGUAAUGGAAACAUUUCACAGCCAAGGCUAGAACUGGUCACCAUCACCAAGUCACCAAAUAGCUCUGGCCCAGCUCCACAGAAAUCCCAUCUGGUCUUUCCUCUGGGCUGAUCCUGCACUGCCAGAGGCAGUCCCACAGCCGUGCUUGGCACUGCACUCCAAGUAAUACAGCUCUUGGCUCCUGCCUGAGUCAGCAGCUGCCCCUGCCCAAUGUAAUGGGACUUGGGUUUGCUACUGCAAAAUAUUUUGCACGUAUAAAGGCUUUAAAUGCAUACUAGACAUACAGAUUGUGGUCUGAACAUUUCUGAGGAGUGGGCAGUUCUGUUUAAAGUGAAUGCUACUGAAAACUCAACAGUAACAGCAUCACAAGCAAGAAAAUGUAGGAUUAAUAAUGGGGUAAAAAAAGAAGUAAACCAGUGUAUUUUCCUGGUGCUUUGUCAAUAGCAACUUUAGACAACUUCAUUACAGAGCUGAAUAUGCAGGCCACAAGCCUCUUACUUACAGAGCAGUCAGCUUAACCAAAAAUCCCUCUCUGCUAUCAAAUCUAUUUGAAAGGAAUAAUUUAGGGAAGAUGAGCUGAACUGUAUUGACAAGCUGUGUCUGCUGUCUCUGAAGGAAUCACUGAAGAGCAUGUCUUUCUUUUUCUGUGCAAUUCCCCAUCUUCCUUCUUUGUGCCAAUUCCAUGAUGUCCCUAACAGAAUCAGUGGAUGUGAAGAGGUGAGAGCACAGCACUGUAGCUUCCCACACGAAGUUACAAUUUGCCUUACAUUGCUUAAAAUUUGGUCCAAGUCAUGCCUCAACUGUAAAUUACUUUUUUUGUUGUGAUGAAAACUAUAUAUUGUAUGCAAAUAGUGACUCCAUGCACAGAAACCUUGAAGGCCUGUAAUCUCCAAGGACCUGUGCAAAUUGUACAAAUGGUGAAAUUCAAAAGAACUAUACUGGUGUGAAACAGAAGACCCAAACCUGAUUGUUGGGGAUUUGCACAGCAUCUCAUUAAAAAUAACACAAAGCACAAACCCAAAAAAUGUGUAACAUGUCCCCGUACAUGGGCUGCAGUCAUGCCUGUAAACAGAUUUGUUUCUUCCAUGAGCACACAGGGAUGGUUUGCACAGGAAACAAGCAAGAGCUGCCAGGCAGAUACUCUUGUUAAAUGCAGCCACUCCAAAUUUGGGAGCACAUUCCAUUUCCUGGCCUUGGGCGAGGCAGGGGUUUUCCAGAGCACUCCUCAGAGCUGCGUCAGAGAGCAUUUGGUCUGGGCAUGACAUCUCAGAUGCAUGAUGAUUUUAUUUAGAACACGCUUCAGCUCUGCAGGCUGCAGAGGCAAGGUGCCACGCUUCAGCAAGAAGGGGAAGGACUAUAAAUAGAGCAGGCUGGGCUGCCACAGGCAGCUUUUUCUGGUUUAGCCUGGAAGAAGCAGAAAUCCAGUCUGCUGAGGAGAAAAUGCACAGUACAGGCACAAACAGCAGCUCUUCUCUCCAACCAGUAACUGUCUUUCAUUUCGUAGGUACACAGGUACAGCCACUUACAUUUAAGGAACAAGGACACACCACCUUCCAGCUGUGCUUUCCUCCAGCUCUCAGUUUUUUGCAAGCUCCUUACAUGCAAACUGUCACGUUUUCAUGAAACGAUGCAUUCCCGUCUACUCACAAGGGGAAGACAUUCCUUCAUUUACAAAACAAGGAAUAAAAUGAGUCUCAAAAUUAAGUGCACAGAGGUAACACACAUUUCAUAUUUUUGAGGCCCAUGGAGCUUUAAGAAUUGUUCUUGCUCUAAGUUGUAUCCCACUAUGAGAUCUCCCUGGAACUGCUUGAAUAAAGAAGGGGCAUUUUUGCUGCAAUACAAGUACAUACAAAUAGCACCAAGAGCCCAGUCCUGUGCUCAGGAGACUUUUGUUUUCCCUUGCAGGUACCUACACUGAGAGCUUUUUCUUCCCUUAAUCUGUGCUUGACUCAGUUACUAUUAAAGAGAAAAAGUAUUUCUACCUGUUUCCACAGCCUUUCACACCUUUCAGUGAGUAUAUUUUAUUUACAGCACAAAGCUAAUGGAAGCCAUCUUUGGACAGUGCAUUUUAGACUCAAAGCACUUCAAUUCUUUGAAUUCUGCACCCCCAAAGCUGCAGCCAAGAGUAGAGAGUAAUGGUUCCCCCUAUUCCCUCCUGCUGGAAUGCACCCUAAGAAGGACAACAUUUAAAAUAAUUUCAGAAUAUGCUCUCAACAUUACACUGUGCACAAAAGGAGAUGGGAUCACAUGGGUCCAAAAAUCAGAUAAUAAAUAUUACAUUUGAAAGCAAACCAUCAAGUCUUAGGGAAGACAGGUGAAUCUCCUAAAUCUUUGUCUUCCACAAAAUAUUUAGCCUACAUUGCCUGUGUUUUCAUCCCUGCUGGCCCUUGCUAAAUCUGAAAUAAAAGAACAUAAGUUUGUAGAGGAGAGUAUCAGUAACCUAUUAAAACCAAGGACUUCCACAAACACACUUUGUUUAUGGUCUACUGUAAUGUUCCUCCUGCCCACCUCUGCUACACAAGCAUGAAGGAUUUCUCCAUUCCAGAAAGUUUAGGGUUUAAUAGCCUGUGAGGUUUUUCUAUACAUUACUUAUUUAAAUCUCUGGAUAUUUGAAUAAUAUAAUUUGUUCACAUUAAGAAAGCACUACAUAUAAUUUUAUUUGUAGAAUAUCAAGUUGAAAACAGAUAUAAAAACAACAGAACAUAUAAACUUAAUAGGAAACCCAACUAAAAUAAUAAAACAGUGCAUUUUUCUCGAUAGGUUUUUGUUGAAGAUCAUACUGAAAUCAAACUUACUCCUUUAACCUGAGUAUUUUAGCCUUUGUUAUUGUUUCUCUAUUGUUUCUCUGUAAUAAAGAAUCCUAAGUCACUUUAACAAACAUUCUAAUCAAUAAAUCCAGAAACACAACAAGUUUCUGUAGUAGUUCCCACUGCAUGAAUGCACAUGGACAACACUAUAUAUAAUAAAGCCAAACCAUUUAACAAGUGUGAAGAGAUUUGCACUAUGAAUAAAGUGAACACAAACUCAAGUGAACUCUGAAAUUACAGAGCUGUGUUAACAUAAAGGCACAUUUUAUUUUCAGUGUAAAUUCACAUUUCUAGAAAGUUAAAUUUUGUGCCCAGGAAACUUCAAGUCAUGACAGCACAAUCAGCCAAACAACUCUGAUUGCACGUAUCUGAACUUUCAAUAGAAAAAUCUGGCUUCUAUUUCUUUAAUCCAGUUUUAUUAAAGAAGAAAUUAAAUUAGAAAUAGAAGGGCUCUCCCUCCCAUAUUUACAGACUGCAAACUAUAUUGCUUUCUCAUCAGAAAUUCUAGUAUUCUUGUCAAAUUU